AUGGCCUCUCCUGCACCGCUCUCAGUUCUGCUGAAGGUAACAGCACGCCAGGCACCAGCAGCCAAACCCAGCAGCCACAACUCUCAACUUUCCAGCCCAGUGAAGCUGGGGCAUGACUCCGUGCCGCAAAUAUCCCACACCCGCGUCGCAACAACGCUCGGUCAGGAAUGUUCAGCGCCAGGUUCCCGUUCUGCGUCAUCACCCCACGUUUUUAGCCCUUUAAACCGACGGGAGGUGAGCACAGCAGCGUACUGCCAGAACCCCGGCACUGAGCGGGGCUGGAGGAGAAGAAAGGAGGAGAAGAAAGAGGAGGAGGAGGAGGAAGGCUCCUGCCAUCGGCUGCUGCCUGGGUCUGCCCAGCCCCACCACGAGCCGCCCGGCAGCGGGCUGCAAUGGGCGCUCAGCAUGGGUAACCGUGCUGGCAGCUCCGUCCUCCAAGCGUCCCAAACACCGACACGCGAAGUAGUUUCUAAACGAGCGCGUUUUCAACGUGAACGCAUACAUAAAAAACAACAAGGUAACCCAGCGCACGGAGGGAGAGCUGACGGCCAACGACCGGAACGGCGCCUGCGUCCACGGGCACACGGCAGGGCUGUGCGGGGACUGCCGGCCGUCCCGCCCCGGGGCUGCCGCCGGCACAGCCGUGCCCAGCGCGAGGCCGAGCCCUGCCCGCUGCCGAUACCCACGGCGACAGAACCCCGCGGCCCGCCCGGCCACGACACCGCGGGUUCGGUGCGGGCUCCGCGGGCGGCCCGGCCCCACCUGCACCUCUCGCUCCGCUCCGGGCCGAGAGCCGCAGGCGAUAGGGACCGCACGUCCCCCCGCGCCCCGGUGACCGCCUCACGCAGCCCCCGCCGCCGCCCGCCCUCUCACCUCGCCGCGCCGCAGCCAGUCGCCCCUCACGGCCCCGCCGCUCUCCUCAGCGCGCCCGGCCGCGCAUGCGCCGCAGCGCCAACGGCCGCGCCGUUCGAAAGUAAACGGUCAGCGGGCGGAGCCUCGCGCCGGGCGGCGGCCGUUAACGGCGCACGCGGCACUCUCCUCCUCGUUGUUUACAGCGCAGCGAGCCGACCCGCGCUGUGGGCACACGCACGCGGCGCUGCCCCCCGCAGUCAGGCGCUGAAGGGCGCGGGCUGA
rnacentral:lncRNA from 1 species